rnacentral:rRNA from 1 species
CCUACGGGUGGCUGCAGUGGGGAAUAUUGCACAAUGGGCGCAAGCCUGAUGCAGCCAUGCCGCGUGUGUGAAGAAGGCCUUCGGGUUGUAAGCACUUUCAGCGGGGAGGAAGGCGGUGAGGUUAAUAACCUCAUCGAUUGACGUUACCCGCAGAAGAAGCACCGGCUAACUCCGUGCCAGCAGCCGCGGUAAUACGGAGGGUGCAAGCGUUAAUCGGAAUUACUGGGCGUAAAGCGCACGCAGGCGGUCUGUCAAGUCGGAUGUGAAAUCCCCGGGCUCAACCUGGGAACUGCAUUCGAAACUGGCAGGCUAGAGUCUUGUAGAGGGGGGUAGAAUUCCAGGUGUAGCGGUGAAAUGCGUAGAGAUCUGGAGGAAUACCGGUGGCGAAGGCGGCCCCCUGGACAAAGACUGACGCUCAGGUGCGAAAGCGUGGGGAGCAAACAGGAUUAGAUACCCGUGUAGUC